CUACGGGCGGCAGCAGUGGGGAAUAUUGGACAAUGGGGGAAACCCUGAUCCAGCAAUGCCGCGUGUGUGAAGAAGGCCUGCGGGUUGUAAAGCACUUUCGGUUGGGAGGACUGCUUCUAGCACUAAUAUUGUUGGAAGUUGACGUUACCUUCAGAAGAAGCACCGGCUAACUCCGUGCCAGCAGCCGCGGUAAUACGGAGGGUGCAAGCGUGAAUCGGAAUUACUGGGCGUGAAAGCGCGCGUAGGCGGCUAGAUCAGUCGGGUGUGAAAGCCCCGGGCUUAACCUGGGAACUGCAUCCGAUACUGUCUAGCUUGAGUACAGGAGAGGAGAGUGGAAUUCCACAUGUAGCGGUGAAAUGCGUAGAUAUGUGGAGGAACACCAAUGGCGAAGGCAGCUCUCUGGCCUGAUACUGACGCUGAGGUGCGAAAGCGUGGGGAGCAAACAGGAUUAGAUACCCCAGUAGUC
rnacentral:rRNA from 1 species